CCUACGGGUGGCAGCAGUGAGGAAUAUUGGUCAAUGGACGCAAGUCUGAACCAGCCAUGCCGCGUGCAGGAAGACGGCCCUAUGAGUUGUAAACUGCUUUUGUACGAGGGUAAACGCAGAUACGCGUAUCUGUCUGAAAGUAUCGUACGAAUAAGGAUCGGCUAACCCCGUGCCAGCAGCCGCGGUAAUACGGAGGAUUCAAGCGUUAUCCGGAUUUAUUGGGUUUAAAGGGUGCGUAGGCGGUCGGAUAAGUUAGAGGUGAAAUCCCGAGGCUCAACUUCGGAAUUGCCUCUGAUACUGUUCGGCUAGAGAGUAGUUGCGGUAGGCGGAAUGUAUGGUGUAGCGGUGAAAUGCUUAGAGAUCAUACAGAACACCGAUUGCGAAGGCAGCUUACCAAGCUACUUCUGACGUUGAGGCACGAAAGCGUGGGGAGCGAACAGGAUUAGAUACCCGGGUAGUC
rnacentral:rRNA from 1 species